AUGAUUCAAGCCUCUACUCAUGAUGUUUGUUCACCUCUUAUUGCUGAAGUUUAUGCACUUCUAUUUGCUGCUAAAAUCUCUUGCAGGCUUCAACUUCAGCAAGGUUCUUUUCUCACUGACAAUCUUUCAUUAGCAAAGAUGGCUGCUUCAAGAGAUAUCAAUAACACCAACAUCAGCUGGAGGUGCAGACAACCAAUUAGCGAGUUCUUUCAAAUCUCCCAUUCUCUUAAUGCUGUUUAUCACAUCUCUAGGAAUACCAAUGGAAUUGCUCACAAUUGUGCUCAUCAGGUUCUCAACUCGAGAGUAGAACCUGUCUUUAGUUGUUCACGUUCCUCUCAUGCCAAUGUACCUUGCCCUUUUCUGCAGUCCCUUCUCAAUUUUCAAGUUCAGGGC
rnacentral:rRNA from 1 species